rnacentral:rRNA from 1 species
UGGGGAAUCUUGGACAAUGGGCGCAAGCCUGAUCCAGCCAUGCCGCGUGGGUGAAGAAGGCCUUAGGGUUGUAAAAUUCUUUCAACAGGGAUGAUAAUGACAGUACCUGUGUAAGAAGCCCCGGCUAACUUCGUGCCAGCAGCCGCGGUAAUACGAAGGGGGCUAGCGUUGUUCGGAAUUACUGGGCGUAAAGCGCGCGUAGGCGGACUUUUAAGCCAGAUGUGAAAUCCCGAGGCUCAACCUCGGAACUGCAUUUGGAACUGGAAGUCUAGAGACCAGGAGAGGUGAGCGGAAUACCGAGUGUAGAGGUGAAAUUCGUAGAUAUUCGGUGGAACACCAGUGGCGAAGGCGGCUCACUGGACUGGUACUGACGCUGAGGUGCGAAAGCGUGGGGAGCAAACAGGAUUAGAUACCCCCGUAGUCC